AUGUCAGGAGGGGUCGGCGGAGGAGCAUCGGCUGCGGGCGGCGCUGCGCCACCUGCAGGCGGAGGCUGGAGUGCUCGAGUGCCUCGUCUACAAACACCGGAACCAGCACCGCGGUGCCGCCUACUUCCAGUACCUCCUCAAGGUGCGGACCUGAAGCUGCUGCUUGGUGCCCAUCUUGCAGAGUCCAUCAACGCCGUGUUCCCAGUCAUCACCUGUCGUAAACCAGCCAACACUAUUCUUGUUCCAAACAGGCAGGGUAAGAGGAAGCCUGGUGCAAACCAUAGCCACUAUAAGAGGCUUUUGGGGGUUGCCCGUUUGCUGUCCCAGAUGGCUGAACCUGUUAUGAAGGGAGCAGUCCAGAUCAGCUUUUUACUUGCUAGAUCUUUUUUUGUAGAACUUUGCACUGCAGUGCUUGCUUUGCUUGCAAGAGUGAGGGUCCUGACCCAACAGGUGAGCCACAUCAAACCCAUUAGGAGUCGCGUAAAUGGCGCCCUCUGGUGCAUGCCACGUUGA
rnacentral:rRNA from 1 species